GGUGAGGGCUCCAGCAUGGCAGGCUGCAGGUCCCGAGCCCUGCCCCCUUGCCCCGCGGGGAGGUGGCUGAGGCCCAGCGAAAAUUCGAGCGCGGCGCCGGCGGGCCAUCACUGUUGGAGGACCCAGUGCACCCUCCGCAGCUGUUGGCCCGGGUGCUAAGCCUCUCACUGCCCAGGGCCGGCGGCGCCAGCCGACCGCUCAGAAUGCGGGGCGCGCCGAGCCCGCGCCCACCCGGAAGUCGCGCUGGACCUGCGAGCACCGCAGGCAGCCCAGGUUCCGGCCCGCGCCUCUCCCUCCACACCUCCCCGCCAGCAGAGGGAGCCCGCUCAGGCCUCAGCCAGCACAGGGAGGGGCUCCCACGGUGCAGCUGCGGGCUGAAGGGCUCCUCAAGCGCGGCCAGAGUGGGCUGAGGCCGAGGAGGCGCGGAGAGCCAGCGAGGGAUGCCAGCAAGCUGUCACCUCUCAGAAAUACAGGAAGAACAUCAAUAAUGUUCGAAGUUAUAAAUUGCGGAGGUCAGAAGUCAGAAAACAAGGUGUCUGCAGGACCAACCUCUCCUCUGGAUGCUCUAGGUGUUGAAAUUUCCAGGAUGCAAAACGAAGGGGCAAUUCAAAACAUUCAUCUCCACUUCUCAAAAACAUCGAGUCAUGAAUAUGGAAUGACUUCACCUGACUUCACUUGAAAUUCACUUAAUUUUCAACUCUGUUGGCUAUGAGAUUUCAAGAAGACUGGAUAUUGGAGAGAAUCAUAAUAAAUAAAAGGACAUCCAGGCCUCACACAAAAAUGGAUCAAUGAAUUGAAACUCACCAAAUCACCACCACCAGACAACGGGAUGCUGAGUCUCAUUCAUCAUGAUUGCUUCCUGAAGCCUUCUGAGUUCCUGUUUCCCUACACAUUGUUACAUUUCUUCCCUGCAACAUAAACCCCCAAUUUUAGUCCAUCAAGGUUAUAGAUUUGAGACUGAUCUCCCAUUUCCUUGGCUGCAACACCCAAUUAUAGCCUUCUUGGCAAUAAUUGUUGUCUCAGUGAUUGGCUUUCUUUGUGGCCAGCAGCAGGACCUAGACUGAACACCUGAUUUUCUGGUCUCUCAAAACAGAAUUUUGGCUUUUCCAGAUUGGCAAAUAGCUCUUAGUUAAAUGUGGCUUUCAAGUAUGUGUUUACUCCUUUAUGUUUCAAUUUUCCUUCAAUUUUGGCCUGGAGAGUGUCUCAACUAAGAAGCUAAAAAGGGAAAGAAAAGAAAAGCAGUUAUGUUUUUUUCCCCUCCGGCCUAUACAAACACAUACACACCAAGGUGAGA
rnacentral:lncRNA from 10 species